AAGUCGUAACAAGGUUUCCGUAGGUGAACCUGCGGAAGGAUCAUUAAAGAUUCGACCUUCGGGUCUAUCUUAUCUUCAGCUGUGCGCUUUUGCUGCACGCUGUUGAACUUCACACACCUGUGCACACUUCGGUUGCAGUUAGUUAACUCUAGCUGCUUCCGCUUUUACAUUUAACUACUAAGUCUUGAAUGUCAAAUACAAUAAAAUAACAACUUUCAACAACGGAUCUCUUGGCUCUC
rnacentral:misc_RNA from 1 species